GCCAGCCCAAGGUUGCCCCACCUGUCCACCUCUUCCCGCCAUCCUCUGAGGAGCUCUCGACGCCGCCGAACAACCAGUACAUGGCCAGCAGCUACCUGACGCUGAGUGCCAGCGAGUGGAAGAGUCACGAGACCUAUGCCUGCAAGGUCACGCACGAGGCUGGCAAUGUGGAGAAGAACCUGAAGAGAUCCGAGUGUUCUUAA